GCCCCGCUAGCUCAGCAGGCUAGAGCACCUGACUCUUAAUCAGGGUGUCCGGGGUUCGAGUCCCUGGCGGGGCACCA
rnacentral:tRNA from 1 species